CUCCUGUGGUGCCAUGUGCCGGAAUUGUUUGUUGAAUGAAUGUGUCUUCUUGAAGGCCUGUGUUGGGAACCUUAUGGAUUAGCAUUAGCGUCAAGGCUGUAUCACAUCCGGCUGUGAUUGGGAGUUCCAUAGGGCGGUGCACAAUUGGCCCAGCGUCGUACAGCAUAGGAGGCUCUUGUUCAAUCGCAAAAAGG